UGGGGAAUCUUGCACAAUGGGGGCAACCCUGAUGCAGCGACGCCGCGUGAGCGAUGAAGCCCUUCGGGGUGUAAAGCUCUUUCGGCAGGGAAGAUAAUGACGGUACCUGCAGAAUCAGCUGCGGCUAACUACGUGCCAGCAGCCGCGGUAAUACGUAGGCAGCGAGCGUUGUUCGGAGUUACUGGGCGUAAAGGGUGUGUAGGCGGUGCUCUAAGUGUGGUGUGAAAUCUCCCGGCUCAACUGGGAGGGUGCGCUACGAACUGGAGUGCUCGAGUGCGGGAUGGGAGAGUGGAAUUCCUGGUGUAGCGGUGAAAUGCGUAGAUAUCAGGAGGAACACCGGUGGUGUAGACGGCUCUCUGGACCGCAACUGACGCUGAGACACGAAAGCGUGGGUAGCAAACAGGAUUAGAUACCCAGGUAGUCCCUGAGCGGGC
rnacentral:rRNA from 1 species